UCAAACAUUGCUCCCAAAUGCAAACACAGCUGGUUGUCAAAAGAAAUCAGCCCAAAAUAGUAUAGAACACAUAUUUGAAACCUCAAUAUACUUUUACUUGCAUUUUGAUGCCAGUCUACACAUCAGACCCAACAACAUCUUAGGAAAACAGCAAUACUGAAUGACAGAAUCAUAUUUCACUCACAGUUUGCAGACCAGAUCACUGUUAAGAAGUCACAAAUGCUGGAUGAAAUCACAAAAUGGAAUAAGUUUGCAAGUGGAAAGCACCUUACAUGUGCCAUUACACAGAAUAAAAGAAGUAUUUUUCUGGAUUAAGGUCUAGACAACUCACAUGGCCAUGAAGCAGUGCUUCCCCUUUAUCUUCUUCUGGGGUGAGAAGCAGAUCACAGCAUCCAAGCAAGGUUCAUCUUGGCCUUGGCAAAUAGCUUUUACCGUAUCUUCUGAUGGACAUGAGAUAAUAUGUUCAAGCAGCACAUGUAACCUAGCUCUCAUGCUUGCAGCUAAAGAGAAGACUUUCAAGCUAACAGUGCCCCUUACUGAAUCUGUGAUC